ACACCUCAACUCUCAUGGCUUGCCAUGAUGAGCUUGGUCUCUGGAGGUCUUGUUGGCCCUGUGGUCAGCUCCUCUCAAAUAAAUCAGCUUACCAGUGUUUGGUGGCAUCACAGGUGUGAUAACUAUCUACGCUUGUGGUUUUCCACCAGGUAACCUUCAGUGAUGGGGGUUCGCUGGAGCUCAUAAAUGUCUCUCCUCAGCGAGGACAGCUCUCUGAAC
rnacentral:misc_RNA from 1 species